AACGAACGUUAGCGGCGCGCCUAACACAUGCAAGUCGCACGAGAAAGGGCUUCGGCCCCGGUAAAGUGGCGCACGGGUGAGUAACACGUGGGUAAUCUGCCCUCGAGCAGGGGAUAACAUUCCGAAAGGAGUGCUAAUACCGUAUAAGACCACGACCUCGAAAGAGGAUGCGGUCAAAGCUGGCCUCUAUACAUAAGCUAGCACUUGAGGAUGAGCCCGCGGCGGAUCAGGUAGUUGGUGAGGGAAUGGCCCACCAAGCCGAAGACGCGGAGCUGGGCGGAAGGGAUGAUCAACCCCACGGGAACUGAGAAACGGUCCAGACUCCUACGGGAGGCAGCAGUGGGGAAUCUUGCGCAAUGGGCGAAAGCCUGACGCAGCGACGCCGCGUGAGUGAUGAAGGCCUUCGGGUUGUAAAGCUCUGUGGGGAGAGACGAAUAAGUGCAGCCUAAUACGUUGCAUGAUGACGGUAUCUCCUUAGUAAGCACCGGCUAACUCUGUGCCAGCCGCCGCUGUAACAC
rnacentral:rRNA from 1 species